rnacentral:rRNA from 1 species
CCUUUGUACACACCGCCCGUCGCUACUACCGAUUGAAUGGCUCAGUGAGGCUUUCGGACUGAUCUAGGGCGGGGUUCAUUCGCCGCCUCUGGUCGGAAAGUUAUCCAAACUCGGUCAUUUAGAGG